CAGCAGCCGCGGGAAUACGGAGGGUGCGAGCGUUAGUCGGAAUUACUGGGCGUAAAGCGCGCGUAGGCGGCUUGGUAAGUCGAUUGUGAAAGCCCCAGGCUCAACCUGGGAAUUGCAGUCGAGACUGUCAGGCUAGAGUGUGGGAGAGGGUGGUGGAAUUCCCGGUGUAGCGGUGAAAUGCGUAGAUAUCGGGAGGAACAUCAGUGGCGAAGGCGACCGCCUGGCCCAACACUGACGCUGAGGCACGAAAGCGUGGGGAGCAAACAGGAUUAGAUACCCCAGUAGUCCCUGUCUCUUAUAC
rnacentral:rRNA from 1 species